GAACGCUGGCGGCGUGCCUAAUACAUGCAAGUAGAACGCUGAAGAGAGGAGCUUGCUCUUCUUGGAUGAGUUGCGAACGGGUGAGUAACGCGUAGGUAACCUGCCUUGUAGCGGGGGAUAACUAUUGGAAACGAUAGCUAAUACCGCAUAACAAUGGAUGACACAUGUCAUUUAUUUGAAAGGGGCAAAUGCUCCACUACAAGAUGGACCUGCGUUGUAUUAGCUAGUAGGUGAGGUAACGGCUCACCUAGGCGACGAUACAUAGCCGACCUGAGAGGGUGAUCGGCCACACUGGGACUGAGACACGGCCCAGACUCCUACGGGAGGCAGCAGUAGGGAAUCUUCGGCAAUGGGGGCAACCCUGACCGAGCAACGCCGCGUGAGUGAAGAAGGUUUUCGGAUCGUAAAGCUCUGUUGUAAGUCAAGAACGAGUGUGAGAGUGGAAAGUUCACACUGUGACGGUAGCUUACCAGAAAGGGACGGCUAACUACGUGCCAGCAGCCGCGGUAAUACGUAGGUCCCGAGCGUUGUCCGGAUUUAUUGGGCGUAAAGCGAGCGCAGGCGGUUUGAUAAGUCUGAAGUUAAAGGCUGUGGCUCAACCAUAGUUCGCUUUGGAAACUGUCAAACUUGAGUGCAGAAGGGGAGAGUGGAAUUCCAUGUGUAGCGGUGAAAUGCGUAGAUAUAUGGAGGAACACCGGUGGCGAAAGCGGCUCUCUGGUCUGUAACUGACGCUGAGGCUCGAAAGCGUGGGGAGCGAACAGGAUUAGAUACCCUGGUAGUCCACGCCGUAAACGAUGAGUGCUAGGUGUUGGAUCCUUUCCGGGAUUCAGUGCCGCAGCUAACGCAUUAAGCACUCCGCCUGGGGAGUACGACCGCAAGGUUGAAACUCAAAGGAAUUGACGGGGGCCCGCACAAGCGGUGGAGCAUGUGGUUUAAUUCGAAGCAACGCGAAGAACCUUACCAGGUCUUGACAUCCCGAUGCUAUUUCUAGAGAUAGAAAGUUACUUCGGUACAUCGGUGACAGGUGGUGCAUGGUUGUCGUCAGCUCGUGUCGUGAGAUGUUGGGUUAAGUCCCGCAACGAGCGCAACCCCUAUUGUUAGUUGCCAUCAUUCAGUUGGGCACUCUAGCGAGACUGCCGGUAAUAAACCGGAGGAAGGUGGGGAUGACGUCAAAUCAUCAUGCCCCUUAUGACCUGGGCUACACACGUGCUACAAUGGUUGGUACAACGAGUUGCGAGUCGGUGACGGCAAGCUAAUCUCUUAAAGCCAAUCUCAGUUCGGAUUGUAGGCUGCAACUCGCCUACAUGAAGUCGGAAUCGCUAGUAAUCGCGGAUCAGCACGCCGCGGUGAAUACGUUCCCGGGCCUUGUACACACCGCCCGUCACACCACGAGAGUUUGUAACACCCGAAGUCGGUGAGGUAACCUUUUGGAGCCAGCCGCCUAAGGUGGGAUAGAUGAUUGG
rnacentral:rRNA from 1 species